rnacentral:piRNA from 1 species
UGGUGACUUCUCUGCUAAACUGGGAGCU